GUUUUUGACCAAUGGUGGAUGAAUAUCUGCAGACUGUGUCCUCAACUACUGCUAGCAUCACACAGGAAAAGUCAAGUCUUGCAACAGCUGUGAACUGCUCAGGAAGUGCUGCGUUCCAUAUGAUAACCUGUAUUGUUCCAUUGCUGCUUCUACGACUAUUCUAAUUCAAAAAUCAUGAAACAGCAGUUUUACCUUCUGAAAGUUAUGGGUGACUACUGCCCAUCAUAUUAUGCAACGUUAACAUUUCUGCAGCUUGAAGAAAUAAAGGCAGCAAAUAUCUGUUCUAGUGCUUCAGCUAAAAGUCCCCUCCUUAACCUGUCUAGAUAAGAAGAGACCCGACAGCAUCCAUACAAACAGAAUCCCACAAAGUGUUGUCAUUUAUUUGUGUUUUGUCAUGAUAUUGCCCAUGUCACUGAUGACUUUUGACUUAAAAGUAAAAUUGUCUUAUGAUAACCGUUCAUUUUAAAUUCUGUUAAACUAAAAGCAUAUCUUGUGAGAAAUAAAAUGAAAUCAUAUAUACCUG